UACGUAGGGGGCAAGCGUUGUCCGGAAUUAUUGGGCGUAAAGAGCGCGUAGGCGGUCCGAUAAGUCGGCUGUGAAAGUCAGGGGCUCAACCCUUGAAAGCCGGCCGAUACUGCCGGACUAGAGUCCGGAAGAGGCAAGUGGAAUUCCCGGUGUGGCGGUGAAAUGCGCAGAUAUCGGGAGGAACACCAAUGGCGAAGGCAGCUUGCUGGGACGGUACUGACGCUGAGGCGCGAAAGCGUGGGGAGCGAACAGG
rnacentral:rRNA from 1 species